rnacentral:rRNA from 1 species
AGCGAACGCUGGCGGCAGGCUUAACACACGCAAGUCGAGCGGGCGUAGCAAUACGUCAGCGGCAGACGGGUGAGUAACGCGUGGGAACGUACCUUUUGGUUCGGAACAACACAGGGAAACUUGUGCUAAUACCGGAUAAGCCCUUACGGGGAAAGAUUUAUCGCCGAAAGAUCGGCCCGCGUCUGAUUAGCUAGUUGGUGAGGUAACGGCUCACCAAGGCGACGAUCAGUAGCUGGUCUGAGAGGAUGAUCAGCCACAUUGGGACUGAGACACGGCCCAAACUCCUACGGGAGGCAGCAGUGGGGAAUAUUGGACAAUGGGGGCAACCCUGAUCCAGCCAAUGCCGCGUGAGUGAUGAAGGCCCUAGGGUUGUAAAGCUCUUUGUGCGGGAAGAUAAUGACGGUACCGCAAGAAUAAGCCCCGGCUAACUUCGUG